GGUGCGGCUUGUCGCCUGCAGGUACAGACGCCUGCAAAUGUGGAGCUUCCCGGAGCAUGAGAAAAGGGGAAAUCUCGGGCUAUAAUGGGAGGGCUAUAAUGUCUUGAGGCCAGGAGGACCAGUGGUGACCUGGGGUGCCUCGGGAAGGGUAUGGCCAGCAGGUCAAGGGAGACGAUCCUGCCCCUCUGCUCGGCCCUAGUGAGGCGACAUCUGGAACGCUGUGUUGAGUUCUGGGCUCCUCAGAACAAGAAAGACAAAGAGAGGGUUCAGUGGAGGGUCACAGAGAUCAUUUGGGGUCCAGAGCAUCUCUUUUAUGAGGAGAGGCUGCAGCAGCUGGGCCUGUUCAGUCUAGAGAGCACUGACAGGGGAUGACAUUAAUGCAUAUAAAGAGCUCAAAGCGGGUUUCGGAUGGUACCAGGCUCUUCUCAGCGGUGCCCAGUGACAGAACGAGAAACAAUGGCUAUAAACUAAAACAUAAAAAGUUUCACCUCAACGUAAGGAAGAAUUUACUAAUGACAGAGCACUGAACAGGCUGCCCAGGGAGGUCGUGGAGUCUCUGGAGACAUUCAAACCCCACCUGGCCAGGUUCCUAUGCAACCUUCUCUAGAUGACUAUGCCUCGUCAGGGAAAUUGAACUAGAUGAUCACCAGAGGUCCCUACGAACGCUGACAAUUUUGUGAUUCGGUGGUUUAUUGACUUGAGGAGGAGCGGGAGGCGGCAGCGAGCACGGUCCGGCCGAGCCCCGCCUGGCCGAGAUUGCUCCCGAAUUCCCAGCGGCUUCCUGGGCAGGGCCGUGCCCACAGGGGCCGGCUCCAGACUCCACUACCUGCCUGCUGGGGAACGAGAGUUAGACUCUGAUCCCAGUCUGCAACUUCUUAUGCGUGUGUUCGGUCCUGGGAUGCCACUGAUUAUACAAAAUAUAUUUUACCUAUAAUAUACACAUAAUGCAAAAUGACACAAAAAUGAAGCAUUUGAAAGACUGACUACUAACGUAAAAUAUUUUAAUGUUUCAUAUUUAUCUUUGGAAAAAGUAACAAACAUUCAUACAGACUUUAUAGCUACCCUAGGAAGUGGUGGUGAAUAAGUUGAUAGAUAAUUUUGUCAUUAAUUUUCAGAAUCUAAUGUUUUCUCUCCAUACAUACCAGCUUUUCUCAAGUAGAUCUUAGGUCAUUUUCUUUCUUCCCCAGAGGCCAGAGAUACUUAUCUUUCAGUGUUUCAUUGUUUUGUCUAACACCACUCGUUGAAAGAUGUUUGCAACAAAGCAAAAAUGAGACCAGGUCUGUUUGUUGUCUGUUAGCAGAUAAAGGUAAAACUGACUUUUCUGCUAGGACUGGCCUCAUGGUGUAUGCUAUGGGCCAACAGCUCCUACAGGUGAAUCUGUGCAGCAGACCUUGGCCAAGAAGUUCAGUAAAAAGCUAAGAGAGGGUGGGCUCAAGCUGUAUCAUUAGAUAAAAUGAGAGAACACAGUCCACCAGGUAAUGCUGCUGCGUUUAGAGUGUGUCUCCCUAAAAGAGGUGAACAACAGGAGCUGUUGCAUGUAUUUUGUUUGGUUGAGUUUGAACUUUUGUUUUUCAUUUCUGGUUCUCAGUCUGUUUGGUUUAGUGGUUACUUCCUACUGGUUUGGGGGUUGAAAGACAAGGGGAAGUUAAGAGUGCCUGAUGUUGGUAUACCUGGGACCCUAUAAUUUGAAUACCAUCAAGCCUCAUAACUUCCUCAGGCUAAGAUCAAAGGAGUAAGCAGGAGAUUAUUCCUGUUCAGUAAAUGUGCUGUUGAAUGUCAGCAAUUGGAAAGACUAGAUAGAUACUUUUGAUACUAAGCAGAGAAAUGAAACCAUCAUAGUCCUAAUUAUAUGCUUUUCGUUUGGGAAUGGAUGUAGGAGCAUAUUUUCAUUUUAGGAAACAAAAAAGAAUUGUAAGAAAAUCUUGUGUGGUUUAAGCAUAUUUUGCUUAUCCUUAUCUCUCUGAGUAUAAUAGCAUAAUAAUGGUUUUGAUCAUGUUAUUUUUCUUUUCUUUUCCCUACUAAGCUAUAGCACUACUUAGUUAAUAAUAAUUUCAUUUCCUUAUAUUUUUCCUAAACUUCUUGAGUUGGAGAUGCUCUGGUUGUGAUUUGUGCAUAUCUCAAUUGUGCCAUUUGGUGCCAGAAUGUAGUAAUCUUCUAACAACUUUCCUAUAUACAAAUUCACAUAUGAAGCCUACAAAUUCAUGUGUAUAAUGGAAAAUGCAGACAGUAAUAUAAAACUUCUGUUUUGCAAACCAGCAGAUUGCUGAUGGAACACACUUUCUCUGAGACCUGGAUCAAUACAGAAUGCAUUUUAAGAUUCUAACUGUUUUCUGUGUUUUCUAUGGCUUUAAUUUGCCUUGCAAAAAUAAUUUCCUAUUCUGUGAAUGUGAUCUUGUAUGACUCUUCUUCUUAAAGAUUCUGAACUUGCCAGGAGAACAACAUUGACAUGCCAGGGCACAGAGCUGGGCUUUAUCAUAACUGUCUGGGAAAUAUCCAAUACCUGUUUUAAAUAUUAGUAUUUAGUAAGGAAAGAGCAUGAUGUAUCCCAGCACUAACUUUCCCACAGCAAUGUUCAUAAACCCAACAGGCAGAAGAUGGGAAAAGGCUAAUACAUUUACCAUAUACAUUUCUGGGAACGUGGACAGCACAGAGUGGAUGGUCAGUCAGAUAACUUCCCUGGUUUUACAAUUUUCUUUUCACUCAGAUACGAUAAUGAUAAAGGUAGCUGCAUUUCUCCAAACAUUAGAUAUGUAGAUUGUAUAGGUGAUUUUUAUGUCCAUCCUCAGAUGGAAGGUAUCAUAACUUAGCAAUGCUGAAAAUUUGUUUCCAGUAAAGCUGUUAUUUAAUAAAUAGUUCUUCUGUUUAAACUUUUCAAGCAAAUGCUUGAAGCUAGCUUCCAGUUAUAUUCUAGUUUUGCUGUUUACUCAGUGCUUUAUAUGUUAGAAGUAAUGACAUUGUGCUUUUAAGGUCUUUUUUUUGUAAAUAUAAUCUGAAGUGUGAUAUAAAUAUAAAGAGUCUGUCUUGCCUCAGAGAGGCUUAAUACACUAAUUUAGUUUAAAAAAGAAAACAUUUCAGUUUAAGAAGGGAAUAACAUUUGCCUUUCUGUAUCCAUUUGAAUAAAACAAAGGAAUGUUACUUGAAAUGUCUUGUGGCAGGUCCAAUAAAAACCUAGAGGAGAAUUUGAAUGCAGAAAUCAAAAGUUGUAAGUCUGGAGGCAUUACUGAUAAUCUGCUUACAAGCUGGAGUCUCAUUUUGAAGGCAUUUUGAAUAGGAGUCAAUGGCUAUAUUCAGCAAACAACCUAAAUGGAAGUACUGAUCUCUUCUUGGAUAGUCUUGUGUUUAAGGCCUUCAGCUGUUCUUGAAAUAUGGGACAGCCUUGUCUAAUACUUCUUAUUUUUACACCAAAUCUCCCACACAAAUCCUGUAACCUUUAAGGGAUGCCUUGUUUAAACCAGAUAAAUCACUUAAGAUUUUGAUCCACUGAGAUAAUUAUGAGAAGUUUUUCUGUCACCAGUGUGCCUUGCAUCUGAUGGCCAGCUACAUCAAACAAGUUUUUUUAUCAAGUGCUGCUAUGCUUUUAAAGGUCUGCUCAGCCCUGCAAAUACAUAUUCCACUGCUUUUGGCAGAAGAAUGCUGAAUUUUCCUUUAAAUUCAAUUUGCAAUUCAAAUCAUGUCUUCAAAACAGGAUUAUCAAACAUCAGGUUCAUGCAGGAUUCCUAAAACAUCUUAAUGCAAGUUGGCAGUCGCUUAUCACACAUUAUUAAGCAGUUUUCAGAAAUCACAAUGUUGUCACUGUAAUUAGAAGCCUCUUUAUAUUGUACUACAUAAGUGGCUUAUUAAUCUGAAAGGAAAGUUAUUAAUAGAAGGGUCUUAAUUGCUAUAAUUACAUUAAAAGUAGUCUUGCUAUAAAGCCUGAAAGCUCUAGAUGCUUUACAGACUUUUGUGUCUUUGCAUGAUCAUUAUGAAAUGCCAGUGAUUUUAAAUUAGCUUUCAGAGAUAAGUAUGAUUUAAAUUGUAAACUCUGCAUUACUCUAUGUAGUAUAGCCUGAAAAUACCUUCUUCUUUGAGAUUCUAAUAUAACUAAGGAUAAAAUUCUACUAAGACUGCCAUCACAAUUUUGUGUUUGUUUUUUUUUGUUUUUUUUUGUUUUUUUUUGUCAGAGUAUUAAUGAUUUUCUUUUCUUUUUUGAAGGGUAAGUGAACCUGGUGCGAAGCAGAUCAUUCAACUACCAACUACAGCAUGAUCUUAGAAUUACACACAUUGUAAUCUUGGCAUGCUUCAAGGGUCAGCAAAGGGAAAGCGAUACUGUUCUCAAAAUAAUUAUUUUUUGUAAGUAUUUUUGAGGUUCUCACCACUAAAGAAAGUAAGAAUUGAAUUUGGAAAGCCAGAUCAGACUUCCAGAGCUGCUGCUGCAUGGAUUAGAGUGGGAUUUGCAGCUAUGUCCACUCUCAUUCAUAGUUACCCAUGAUUUGUCACAGCAUACAAUUGAUGGGAAAAGAAUAUUUCACAGAAUCAUUCAGAUUGGAAGGGUGCUUAUGCUCAUUUACUCCAGCCUCUUGACCAGAGCAGGAUAAACAAUCAGACAGUAUUGCUCAGGGCUUUGUCCUCUUGGGUCUUGAACACCAAAGAUGGAGUUCAUGCAACUCCUCUGGGCAACCUGCUCCAGUGUUUAACUAUAAUGUUUUCCUUGUGUAGUCAGGAUGUCCCAUCUUUUGAGUUUAUGGACACUGUUUCUCAUUUUCCCACUGCACCUUAGGAAAGAGCCUGACUCUGUCUUCUUGAUAGUCCCUAAGUUCCACUGCAGCUGUCUCUUCUGAACAAGAUAAAUAAGCUCAGCACCCUCAGCCUCUUUUCACAAGGCAUAUGCUCCUCCAGUCAUUGAUGAUCUUGGUACCCCUUUGCUGAAUCUCACCAGCUGGUCAAUGUUUUUAAUGUACUGAGGGCCCCAAACUGAAUGUGGGGAGCCCCUCUCAAAGUGAUUUAACAAGGGCCAAGUAGAGGUGAUUGAUCAUUUCCCUUGACUGAAAAAAAAAGCUGCAGUCUUUUUUUUUUCCUUUACAACCCAGGAUGCAGUUAGCCUGAAGAAUCACACAUGUAUUUUUUAGCCCAUUGUGGUUUAACCCCAGGUAGCAACAAAGCCCCAUGCAGUUGCUCACUCACUCCCCCUCAGUGCUGUGGAAUCAGAGGGGUAAAACUGAGGAAAACUCAUGAGUGAAAUAAAAGCCAUAUAAUAAGUAAGAUAGACAAAGGGAAAAAGUAAGGAAAAAACCCAAACAAAGAGAAAGGAAAAUAAAAUCCAAGAAUCUUUCAUAACAAUGUGAAAAAACACAGUUGCUCACCACCAACUGACCCCACCAGCUGCCCCCACCAACCUCCCUCUCUCAAUUUUGCUGCUGAGAACAUCUUAUGAUUAAUCUGGAAUAUCUUUGUGUUCAGUAGAUGUCAUCUGUCCUGUCUGUCUUCCCUCCAAGAAUCUUAUGCACCCCCCAAAUUGUUCACCUGCCUCUCAAUCGUUCCCUCAUCACGGAAAAAAGAAUUUACAACAUGGUCAUAAAAACAAAAGUACUAGUCCACGCAACUGGCCACGCAGCCACCAGGUAAAUUAAUGUAUGUUCAAUCCUGCCUGGCCCUUCCCUUUCACUUGUAGGAUUGUGGAAAAUUAUUGGAUUCCCAUGUCUAUCACCUCAUCCAAUCCAGCAAAUUAGACCCUCUAGAGUUGCUCCAAGUCUCCCUCAGUGCCCGUGUGGAUAAGCAAUGAGAAAUAUUAGUCUGAGGACACAAUAAGCCCCAGCAGUUUCUCCACAAUGUCCUUAAUCAACGCAGCAUAUUCAUUGCUAUUUCAUCUCCAUGCUAAUGCAUAUUUCAGGCUCCAGUCUCCCCAGUGAAGCUUGUGCCAAUUUUUUGACUACCAGGGCACUCUAAGCUCAGAUCUGAAGGCAGAGGAGGACCUAUUCUGUUGGUGUCAGAAGGCAUAAUCUUGCAGUUCUUACCUCUGGAGGGGUCUCCAUCCACCAUGGGUUCAAGCAUGGUCUCAUGCCAUGCUUACUCAUGGUGUGGCUCAGGCUGUGGCCUCUGUAAGGUGUCAGGAAGACCCGGUGCUCUUUUCUUCCUUCUCCAUGAUAGUGUGCAGUCACCUUGCCUCCCAGUCCCUUCACCUGGCAGCCUCAACAAAGCACACCUCCCACAGAUGAGGUCACCAUUAAGCCCAGCCCAGACUCCUUUCAGCCUGUCACCUGGCCACAACGUGUUCACUUGCCCUCCAGGCUGUCAUCAGGAUUGAGGUCUUUUGUGUGCUUUCUCCAGCUGGUGGCAGAGACUGCACCACUCAGCUCAUCGCCAGCAUUGCUGCACAGCAACCAGGAGCACGUUUCUUUAAGCAUCUCUGAACAAACUGCUCUGCUAUCUAUCUCUAUCAAACUCUUUGCUGAAUUUCUAGUCAGCAGCUAAAUAUAUAUCCCCACCAUGCAGGAACAGCAGGUUGUCCUGGAUCAGCAGAAAGCUAGUGACUAAAGAGGCAGGGAAUAUCUAAUCCUGAACCAGUCUAGAAAAAGCCUCAGUCAGAAAGGCACUGUUAUCUGUGGGUGUUUCUAGAAGUGGCAAGAAGCACAAUCUGAAGAAAAAUAAUAAACAGAACCAACACCAAAGUAACUAAAAAGCCAAAUCCGGGUUACUGGUGAGAAGAGAGCUACAAUGUGAGUGGUGUAAAAGCCGUGCUGGUGGUAACAAUACCUACCUUUACUACAGGUCAUUGCUCAGUAGAAUUCUAUCCAAUCAUCAUUAUUGUUCAGGUGUCAAGGCAGGUUGUAGGGUAGUCUACAACUUCCUGUAUUCCCUGUAUGCAGUUGUCUGUCAUUAUUCAGUAAGAGCUUUUUAUCAUUCAGUUUUACAUGUGUAGGAGUUAAAUGUUUGAGUCACAGUUAGUCCCUCUGAGCUGUCUUUAAAAUCUAUGAAAAGAAAUAAGUACUGCUACUGUGUGCUUCAUCUGGCUUACUCACACACCAGUCUUAGGGUGGUAUGAUUCAUCCUUUAGAGACAGUUAUUUCUUUGUAACUUUCAUUUAUAGUUAAUUACACUGGUUCUUUUCAGAUCACCCUUUGCUUGGUGAGUAUUUGCAGCCUUGAGACCAGAAUAGUUUAAUUCAUUUUUACAGAAGAACAGAACAGCUGAGCUUGGAAAGAUCUCUGGAAAUUUACUGGAGCCAAGCAAAGGUGGCAGUAGGACAAUAUGAAUGCACAUCUCCACUCGAGUAACCUUGAAAUAAGGUUCCAAGAAAUGCUGCUUAGUUUGUCUAUCUCAGCUAUUAUCAGGCAUACAACUUUCUCUUAGAGUUUUUCAUUUUCAUCAAAAGCAAAAUUAUUUGUAGAUGCUCAGAAGAAAGUAACUUUGAUGGCUCCUUUGGAUUGUAGAAACCUAACCAAAUAGUUCAACCUAAUUACUCAUAGGACCCAAAGAGCUGGGUGCUGAGUCAGUAGUACUUUGAUUUACCUAGCCUUUGCAUAAUGCAAAGGAGUUUUGCCCACAGGUUUCAUCUUAUGUGGAUGGCUUUGUUUUCUUUGCUUCUUUUCUCUCCAAUCCAUCCUGCUCAACUCUUCUCCAGCAAUUUUUAUCAAUGCUUGAAUCUUUUAUUGAAUAUUACAGUCCUUUGCCCUUUUAUAAUACUAAAAAGUUGUAUUUGGCUUAGACAAAAUAAUGGUGUAAAAUUGGGAUUUAAUUGCUUUUAUGUGAAGCAGAAAAACAAAUUAAUAGCAUCACAGGCAUUGGUUAGUCACUUGCAGUUAGCUGUUGAUCUCCAAACCUGCCCAGCUUAAAUUUUGUAAGAUCAUGACUAAUGGUACUCCUCACCUCAAGCCACCUUCUUCUGAAAGCCUCAGACUUGUUUCCAGUCAAACUCUGCCCCUUUGCACUUUCCUUUUCAUAUUACUUGGCUCUGAUCAAACUUGGUGUUAGCAGGUGGAAUGAAAGAGGGUGAUAACUUCUUAUAAGGGUAAGAAAUCCAGCUCUGGCAGUUCUGUUCUUUGUUCUAGAAGUGUACUAUCCAUUUCAUUUGAAAUUGCAUACAAAUAAAAGCUUCAAAAUGUGCCUUGCUUAAAUAGCUCAAUUUUCAUAAGGCUUUAUUUUGUAAACAACUUGAGAUUGUUACACCUCCCAUGGGGAAAAGGGAGAGGUAUGAAGGAGCCACUAAUAUAAAAUGUAGUACUAUGAAACAACGUUUUCCAUUCCCAAAAAGGCAAUCCAAAGAUGUUUCUAGCUCUGAAGGAGCUGAGUAACUGUAUGACAUCAUAGCAUUUAUUUCUGUCAUUGAUUCAUAGGAGUGCUGAAUAAAGAUGUGUCUUCCUCAUGCCAUGAUUUUUAUUACAUGUAUAAAUAUCUCAGUAUUCAAUUUAUAAAACCAUUCAGUAUGAGACUACUGUAUUUUUUUAGGUUUUAUUAAACCGUUCCCAAAAUAUGCAUGUGUUAAAGUACGAAUAUCUUCCAGUCACCUGAAGAAUUAUUCUUGGUUAUAUAGAGAAGACAUUUUAUUGCUUAUUUUGCUUUGCCAUAAGAGACAAGGUUAGAUUAUGUCUUGAACAAAGUCCAAAGAAAAAAAAUUAUAGUGCUAGCUAAAGGUCAGAGUUCUUCUAUGUGGAAGCUCUGUUGAUAAAUCUUCUUGGCUGAAUCAGCUCAGUUUUCUGACAAGUUUCUGGUAUUGUAUUUAAUGAGCUAAUGUGGGACUUGUUUAAUUACUUUUACUAUUUUAAUUUAAAGUAAUGUAUAGUCAUUAAUAUUGGUGCAUUAAUUAUGACAAAGUAAGGUACAAUCUUACUGAAUCAGGAAAUUGUAAAACCAGACAGCUCACAGUAAUACAUGAAAUGUAUAUAAAAAAAGAUGUUGAAUUUGAAGCUCAAAGGAAUAUCCUGACACUGUGUUUCUGUGUUAAUGUAGUGUACAUUGAUGUCUUUUGUCUCAGCUGACAAAAUGCAACACUCAGUGAUUGUUUAUGGAAGCAGAAACAGGGAAAACAGUGCCUACUGAAGUGUACAAGAACUAAGGAGAGGCCUGGGAAUAGGAAACACCUGUGAGAAAGUCAGGAAACAGUAAAAUCAAUGCUCCUCAGUCAUUCACAGGCAAGGGAAUGGUGACAGUUGUUAAAGUUGUAUCUGUUAACCCUGUGGACUAUGAAACAAUGUGAUCUAAUUCAGGUCUACUUCCACUGUCUGAUUUGUCUUACUGUUAAUGGAUGCCCACAACUUGUUCAUUCAUUAGUUUGUUGAUGGAGCCAAGGAAGGCUCUGACAACCCAUAAAUACAAAUCUUGUGCCUUGCAUUGUUUUACAAGCUGAGCAGCUUCUACCGCGACUUAAUUUGCAAAACUCUGGGUUUAGAUUGCCAGAUAGCAGGCAAAAAAAUCAUCUGUAUUUGGAAACUGAAGAAACAAGAUCUUGCUGUUAAAUAUAAAGUCCAGUAAUGUGGUUAGGGUAGUGUAUACUAUCACCAAAAUUAAAUAUCUGCUAUAAACACUUAAGUUUUGUGUGUGUUUCUGUGUGUGUGUUAGUGUGGUCUAUGAACCACACUAUGGGCUAGUAUUUGUACAGGAUCAGAAAGUAUGAUGAAACUAUGGAAAUAUUAGUGCAAUAUAGAUUCAGUGAAUCAAACACUUGCAGAAGUACCAGGUGAACUAUAUAUAUACUGAGUUUAGUAUUUGUCCCUACAACUUCCUGAAAGGACAUUGUGGACAGGUUAGGGUUGGUCUCUGCUCAUAAAAAGAGCCAGGACAAGAGAAAAUAGCCUCAAGUUGCACCAGGGAAGGUUUAGGUUGGAUAUAAUGAAAAAUUUCUUUACUGAAAGGGAGGUCAAGCAUUAGAAUGGGCUUCCCAGUGAAGCAGUGGAAUCACUGUCUCUGGAAUUGUUCAAAACACGUGGAUGUGCUGCUUGGAGACAUGGUUUAGUGGUGGACUUGAGUGCUGGGUUAAUGGUUGGACUCACUGAUUUUAAAGGUCUUUUCAAACCUAAAUAUUUCUGUGAUUCUCUAAUUAUCUGGGAUGUGUGUGAGGCCAGAAGUCUAGCCAUUACUCUGUGAUUUGCAAUCCUUUACAAAUGUACAGUAUCACUCUGCCUGGACAUGUUUUCAGUGCAAAAAGAUUAAAUGUAACCGGGAAACCCCAAACAUAUGGCAUCUUGUUUCCAGCAUCAACCAGAUUUGAAAAACAGGAAGAGGCUUGUAGAUGAUGCUUGCACAGACUUGUCAGCCCCACAGAUACCAUGUUUCAACCUUAGAGCUGUAGAAGCAAUGACAAUGACAAUAUUUCGGAUACAGUUCAGCUUGCUCUUUUCUGACAGUGAACAUCUAGCAUGCAGAUGGACAGAUUUCUUAGCUGUAAACAUAUCUGCGAAAACAUUUUCCAAGCUGCUUAAAAAUGUGCAUUCUGGAGAUACUGAGUAUGAAAAAGGCUUGGGACUCAGUAAUGUGAGAACUUAAGGAUUUAGUUGCAAUAAACAGUUACAUAAGCCAUGUUAGUUCUGCUCAUUCAAUAGCCA